rnacentral:tRNA from 1 species
GGGUAAUUAACUCAGUUGGUAGAGUAUCUUGUUUACACCAAGGGUGUCAACGGUUCGAGUCCGUUAUUACCCC